UUGUAUUUUUAGUAGAAACAGGGUUCACCAUGUUGGUCAGGCUGGUCUCAAACUCCUGACUUCAUGAUCCACCCACCUUGGCCUCCCAAAGUGCUGGGAUUAGAGACAUGAGCCAAAUUUUUUUGUAGAAAUGGGGUCUCUCUGUGUUGUCCAGGCUGGUCUUGAAGUCCUGCCUCAAGCAGUCCUCCUGCCUUGGCCUCCCACAGUGCUAGUAUUAAAGGUGUGCGCCACUGCACCUGGCUUUUAAAAUGUGUACUUGACCAUGUCUCUUCCACCUAAACCCUCCAAUGUCUCCUUCAAGCCCAUGGGCAAGUGCAAACUCCUCAGCAUGUCAGCUGGCUCCACAUGCUCCGACCUCUUGCUCUGACACAUUUCACUCCUGAGUUCUGUGGAAUAGCUUAUCAGCCUGAGGACAGUUGGCUGUUCC
rnacentral:lncRNA from 10 species